rnacentral:rRNA from 1 species
GUGGGGAAUAUUGGACAAUGGGCGAAAGCCUGAUCCAGCCAUGCCGCGUGUGUGAAGAAGGUCUUCGGAUUGUAAAGCACUUUAAGUUGGGAGGAAGGGCAGUAAGUUAAUACCUUGCUGUUUUGACGUUACCGACAGAAUAAGCACCGGCUAACUUCGUGCCAGCAGCCGCGGUAAUACGAAGGGUGCAAGCGUUAAUCGGAAUUACUGGGCGUAAAGCGCGCGUAGGUGGUUUUGUAAGUUGGAGGUGAAAUCCCCGGGCUCAACCUGGGAACUGCCUCCAAAACUACAUGACUAGAGUACGGUAGAGGGUAGUGGAAUUUCCUGUGUAGCGGUGAAAUGCGUAGAUAUAGGAAGGAACACCAGUGGCGAAGGCGACUACCUGGACUGAUACUGACACUGAGGUGCGAAAGCGUGGGGAGCAAACAGGAUUAGAAACCCGGGUAGUCC